rnacentral:rRNA from 1 species
AUGCUGACAUAAGUAACGAUAAAGCGGGUGAAAAGCCCGCUCGCCGGAAGACCAAGGGUUCCUGUCCAACGUUAAUCGGGGCAGGGUGAGUCGACCCCUAAGGCGAGGCCGAAAGGCGUAGUCGAUGGGAAACAGGUUAAUAUUCCUGUACUUGGUGUUACUGCGAAGGGGGGACGGAGAAGGCUAUGUUGGCCGGGCGACGGUUGUCCCGGUUUAAGCGUGUAGGUGUGUGUUCCAGGUAAAUCCGGUUCACUUUAACACUGAGGCGUGAUGACGAGGCACUACGGUGCUGAAGCAACAAAUGCCCUGCUUCCAGGAAAAGCCUCUAAGCAUCAGGUAACAUCAAAUCGUACCCCAAACCGACACAGGUGGUCAGGUAGAGAAUACCAAGGCGCUUGAGAGAACUCGGGUGAAGGAACUAGGCAAAAUGGUGCCGUAACUUCGGGAGAAGGCACGCUGACACGUAGGUGAAGUGAUUUACUCAUGGAGCUGAAGUCAGUCGAAGAUACCAGCUGGCUGCAACUGUUUAUUAAAAACACAGCACUGUGCAAACACGAAAGUGGACGUAUACGGUGUGACGCCUGCCCGGUGCCGGAAGGUUAAUUGAUGGGGUCAGCGCAAGCGAAGCUCCUGAUCGAAGCCCCGGUAAACGGCGGCCGUAACUAUAACGGUCCUAAGGUAGCGAAAUUCCUUGUCGGGUAAGUUCCGACCUGCACGAAUGGCGUAAUGAUGGCCAGGCUGUCUCCACCCGAGACUCAGUGAAAUUGAACUCGCUGUGAAGAUGCAGUGUACCCGCGGCAAGACGGAAAGACCCCGUGAACCUUUACUAUAGCUUGACACUGAACAUUGAGCCUUGAUGUGUAGGAUAGGUGGGAGGCUUUGAAGCGUGGACGCCAGUCUGCGUGGAGCCGACCUUGAAAUACCACCCUUUAAUGUUUGAUGUUCUAACGUGGACCCGUAAUCCGGGUUGCGGACAGUGUCUGGUGGGUAGUUUGACUGGGGCGGUCUCCUCCUAAAGAGUAACGGAGGAGCACGAAGGUUGGCUAAUCCUGGUCGGACAUCAGGAGGUUAGUGCAAUGGCAUAAGCCAGCUUGACUGCGAGCGUGACGGCGCGAGCAGGUGCGAAAGCAGGUCAUAGUGAUCCGGUGGUUCUGAAUGGAAGGGCCAUCGCUCAACGGAUAAAAGGUACUCCGGGGAUAACAGGCUGAUACCGCCCAAGAGUUCAUAUCGACGGCGGUGUUUGGCACCUCGAUGUCGGCUCAUCACAUCCUGGGGCUGAAGUAGGUCCCAAGGGUAUGGCUGUUCGCCAUUUAAAGUGGUACGCGAGCUGGGUUUAGAACGUCGUGAGACAGUUCGGUCCCUAUCUGCCGUGGGCGCUGGAGAACUGAGGGGGGCUGCUCCUAGUACGAGAGGACCGGAGUGGACGCAUCACUGGUGUUCGGGUUGUCAUGCCAAUGGCACUGCCCGGUAGCUAAAUGCGGAAGAGAUAAGUGCUGAAAGCAUCUAAGCACGAAACUUGCCCCGA